ACGUAGGUAGCAAGCGUUGUCCGGAUUUACUGGGCGUAAAGAGCGCGCAGGCGGUCGUUCAAGUCGCGUGUGAAAGCCCCCGGCUCAACUGGGGAGGGUCACGCGAUACUGAUCGACUCGAAGGCAGGAGAGGGUAGUGGAAUUCCCGGUGUAGUGGUGAAAUGCGUAGAGAUCCGGAGGAACACCAGUGGCGAAGGCGGCUUUCUGGGUCCGCCCUGACGCUGAGGCGCGAAAGCGUGGGGAGCGAACGGGA
rnacentral:rRNA from 1 species